CGUUAAUCGGAAUUACUGGGCGAAAGCGCAGGCGGUUCGGAAAGAAAGAUGUGAAAUCCCAGAGCUUAACUUUGAACUGCAUUUUUAACUACUGAGCUAGAGGUGUCAGAGGGAGGUGGAAUUCCGUGUAGCAGUGAAAUGCGUAGAUAUGCGGAGGAACACCGAUGGCGAAGGCAGCCUCCUGGGAUAACACUGACGCUCAUGCACGAAAGCGUGGGAGCAAACAGGAUUAGGAUACCCUGGUAGUCCACGCCCUAAACGAUGUCAACUAGCUGUUGGGGCCUUUCGGGCCUUGGUAGCGCAGCUAACGCGAAGUUGACCGCCUGGGGAGUACGGUCGCAAGAUUAAAACUCAAAGGAAUUGACGGGGACUCCGCACAAGCGGUGGAUGAUGUGGAUUAAUUCGAUGCAACGCGAAAACUACCUACCCUUGACAUGUCUGGAAUCCCGAAGAGAUUUGGGAGUGCUCGCAAGAGAACCGGAACACAGGUGCUGCAUGGCUACCGUCAGCUCGUGUCGAGAUGUUGGGUUAAGUCCUGCAAACGAGCGCAACCUUUGUCAUUAGUUGCUACGAGAGGGCACCUUAAUGAGACUGCCGGUGGACAAACGGAGGAAGGUGGGGAUGAUGUCAAGUCCUCAUGGCCCUUAUGGUAGCUUCACACGUCAUACAAUGGUCGGGACAGAGGGUCGCCAACCCGCGAGGGGGAGCCAAUCCCAGAAACCCGAUCGUAGUCCGGAUCGCAGUCUGCAACUCGACUGCGUGGAAGUCGGAAUCGCUAGUAAUCGCGGAUCAGCAUGUCGCGGUGAAUACGUUCCUGGGUCUUGUACACACCGCCCGUCACACCAUGGAGUGGGUUUUACCAGAAGUAGUUAGCCCAACUCGUAAGGAGGGCGAUUACCACGGUAGGAUUCAUGACUGGGGUGAAGCAAGUAACAAGGUA
rnacentral:misc_RNA from 1 species